rnacentral:rRNA from 1 species
UACGUAGGGCGCGAGCGUUGUCCGGAAUCAUUGGGCGUAAAGAGCUCGUAGGCGGCCUGUCGCGUCUGCUGUGAAAUCCCGGGGCUCAACCCCGGGCGUGCAGUGGAUACGGGCUGGCUGGAGGCAGGCAGGGGAGAACGGAAUUCCCGGUGUAGCGGUGAAAUGCGCAGAUAUCGGGAGGAACACCGGUGGCGAAGGCGGUUCUCUGGGCAUGUCCUGACGCUGAGGAGCGAAAGUGUGGGGAGCGAACAGG